UCCGUUUUCUAAGUUACUGUUUUUUUUUAAAUAGCUUGUAUUGUUUUAUUACCGAUUAAUUAAUUAUUACUCAUUAAUCAAUUUACGUUGAAACAUCCAAUAUUGAAUGGUUGAAGUGUUUAAAACCGAAAUGUUGAAGUGUUUCAAAAUCUUUGUUCUUUUUUUUUUUUUUCCUUUUAAUUGAAAUUUCAAAGCAAGUAUAUAUAUAUUUUUAGAACAAGUAUAUAUAUUUGAUUUUAUUGUGUUGGGCCUUUUUACAUUUGCCUUCAUUCAUUUUGGUUGCCAUCAAUCUUCUUUUAUAUAACGGUCCCUUAUAUUUUUUUGUUGGACUUAAUAUCAUUUUAUUGUUCUUACUUUUGGAAGUCCUUCAUACCAACGUAAGAAGUAAUUAUAAUAUAUUCUUAGCACUAAAGUUUAGUGUUUGAAAUUACUGUUUUAAUGUUGGGUUUCUAUGCACUAUCUUUAUGUGGUUUAAUGAAUUAUGAAUUAAUAUUGAACAGACAAUUUAGUUUUCCUUUUAUGAAGAUAAAUUUGAUUUGAAUAUUCAAUUGUUGCAUCUUUGCAAAUCUGUGUAGUAUACUACUUACUUUGGUUUCAAAUUCUUGAAAGAAAAAAGGUGCAAACAGUUCUUUUGUAGUUUAAUUUUGAAUUCAAAAUCUAAUAUUACGUCAGUUUUAGAUUUGGGCUAUUUGUGUAUUCAAUUUUAUAAUUGAUUCUUAUUUUC
rnacentral:lncRNA from 1 species